rnacentral:tRNA from 1 species
GGUUCCAUAGCGUAGAGGUUAGCACUUCUGCUUUACAUGCAGAAGGUCCUGGGUUCAUGCACUAGUGGAGCCA